rnacentral:rRNA from 1 species
ACUACGGGAGGCAGCAGUGGGGAAUAUUGCACAAUGGGGGAAACUCUGAUGCAGCAACGCCGCGUGAAGGAAGACUGUCUUCGGAUUGUAAACUUCUGUUCUUAGUGAAGUAUAAUGACGGUAGCUAAGGAGCAAGCAUCGGCUAACUACGUGACAGCAGCCUCGGUAAUUCGUAGGAGGCAAGCGUUGUCCGGAUUUACUGGGUGUAAAGGGAGCGCAGGUGGGAAGCCAAGUCAGCUGUGAAAACUACGGGCUUAACUUGUAGACUGCAGUUGAAACUGGUUUUCUUGAGUGAAGUAGAGGUUGGCGGAAUUCCGGGUGUAGCGGUGAAAUGCGUAGAUAUUCGGAGGAACACCGGUGGCGAAGGCGGCCCACUGGGCUUUAACUGACGCUGAGGCUCGAAAGUGUGGGGAGCAAACAGGAUUAGAUACCCUUGUAGUC